rnacentral:lncRNA from 1 species
UACAUACGUGUGUGUGUGUGUGUGUGUGUGUGUGUGUGUGUGUGUGUGUGUGUGUGUGUGUGUGUGUGUAUAGAAAUAGAGUUACCUGCUGAUUAAAGAAUCACAAAAUUAACAGUUUUUUACGAUCUAUAUGAGUUGUUUAUUUGUUUAACGAUGUAGAGCAAUUCAAACUGGUUGAAUUUUCGAUAAAAAAUCGGUUAUAUUAUUUCGAUAGUGUUUAAUAAUUCCGAUUAUGAAUUGAGAAAAUUUAAUAUAUAUUUUCACAAAGUUAUUUAUUUUUAACUGUUUAUUUUUCGACUCUUUGAUGGACUUGAUAACAAUUUUUAAAAUUUAUGAAAUUUAAUUUUUAGACGUUUUAAAUACUCUAAAUCAACUUUAACGACUCCGAUCAUCGAUUUGAAAUCUCUAUCAUCUAAAACGAUUUAGGAAGACGAAGGCCUCCGUCCUUCUAAAAACAAAGCAGCUGAACUCUCUCUUUUUAUAUAUAUAGAGAGUCCAGCUAUUAUACUAUCAAUAGUACUAAGCAUUUAGUGCUACCAAGUUUUUCGCCGUUAGAUCUCUUUUUUUGACUAUUUUUAUCUGUUAAAUUAUAUUAUUGAACCAAAAAUCCACUCAAUUCUGGGGGAUUACUAUCAUCCUAAUCGUAUAUCUCUUUACUUCAAAAGCCGAGUCGCACUAAUAUCUUGAUGCUAUUAAUACUAUAGUUGUCCGAAUCUAUAUAAAUAUAUAUAU